UACGUAGGUGGCAAGCGUUGUCCGGAUUUAUUGGGUUUAAAGGGUGCGUAGGCGGUCCUUUAAGUCAGUGCUGAAAUCCUCCAGCUUAACUGGAGGGGUGGCAUUGAUACUGGGGGACUUGAAUGAAGUCGAGGUAGGCGGAAUUGACGGUGUAGCGGUGAAAUGCUUAGAUAUCGUCAAGAACACCGAUAGUGAAGACAGCUUACUAGGCUUAUAUUGACGCUGAGGCACGAAAGCGUGGGGAGCAAACAGG
rnacentral:rRNA from 1 species